rnacentral:rRNA from 1 species
GAUGAACGCUGGCGGCGUGCCUAAUACAUGCAAGUCGAGCGAACAGACGAGGAGCUUGCUCCUCUGACGUUAGCGGCGGACGGGUGAGUAACACGUGGAUAACCUACCUAUAAGACUGGGAUAACUUCGGGAAACCGGAGCUAAUACCGGAUAAUAUAUUGAACCGCAUGGUUCAAUAGUGAAAGACGGUUUUGCUGUCACUUAUAGAUGGAUCCGCGCCGCAUUAGCUAGUUGGUAAGGUAACGGCUUACCAAGGCAACGAUGCGUAGCCGACCUGAGGGGUGAUCGGCCACACUGGAACUGAGACACGGUCCAGACUCCUACGGGAGGCAGCAGUAGGGAAUCUUCCGCAAUGGGCGAAAGCUUGACGGAGCAACGCCGCGUGAGUGAUGAAGGUCUUCGGAUCGUAAAACUCUGUUAUUAGGGAAGAACAAAUGUGUAAGUAACUAUGCACGUCUUGACGGUACCUAAUCAGAAAGCCACGGCUAACUACGUG